rnacentral:rRNA from 1 species
UCCGUGGCUCAGAAUGAACGCUGGCGGCGUGCCUAACACAUGCAAGUCGAGCGAGAAGCGUCCCUUCGGGGGGUGAGUAAGCGGCGCGACGGGUGAGUAACGCGUGGGUAACCUGCCCAAGAGUGGGGUAUAACUCGCCGAAAGGCGGGCUAAUCCCGCAUACGUCCAACGGACUCAAGUCCGUUGGGGAAAGAUGGCCUCUGCUUGCAAGCUAUUGCUCUUGGAUGGGCCCGCGUUGGAUUAGCUAGUUGGUGAGGUAAUGGCUCACCAAGGCUUCGAUCCAUAGCUGGUUUGAGAGGACGACCAGCCACACUGGAACUGAGACACGGUCCAGACUCCUACGGGAGGCAGCAGUGAGGAAUAUUGCGCAAUGGGGGAAACCCUGACGCAGCGACGCCGCGUGAGUUGAUGAAGGCCUUCGGGUUGUAAAGCUUCUGUCAGAGGGAAAGAAAGGGUAGGCGGCUAAUACCCGUCUACAUUGACGGUACCCUCAGAGGAAGCACCGGCUAACUCCGUGCCAGCCGCGGC